UAGCAACUCUUCACUUCAAAGGUUGGUGAUCAGUGAAGCUCUGUUCAUUUGAAUCAACCAGGUUUGCCUUACAAGGUUCUCCUGCAGUCUCUAUCCUUAGCCUCUGAAAUAAUUUGUCUGCAUCGUCCUGCUACAGAUCACCAGGCAGAGAGUUGAGAGAUGAAGGCUUGCUGUAUUGCCUAAGAUGGUCUCAAACUCCUGGCCUGAAGUGAUCCUCCGGCCUUGGCCUUCCAAAGUGCUGGGAUUAGAGAUGUGAGUUACCAUGCCCAGCCAGCUACCCACUCUUAAUGCAAGCAAUUUUCCACAAAAAGUUCAUUGACUUUAUUAUAAUAAA
rnacentral:lncRNA from 10 species